UCGGGGCGUAGCGCAGCCCGGUUAGCGCAUCUGCUUUGGGAGCAGAGGGUCGUGAGUUCGAAUCCCACCGCCCCGACCAC
rnacentral:tRNA from 1 species